GCCGGUUUGGCUCAGUGGAUAGAGCGUUGGCCUGCGGACCGAAGGGUCCCAGGUUCAAUUCCGGCAAAGGGCA
rnacentral:tRNA from 1 species